rnacentral:misc_RNA from 1 species
UUUCCGUAGGUGAACCUGCGGAAGGAUCAUUAAUGAGUUGUCAUGGGGUUCGAUGCUGGCAGCCAAUUUUUGGAUACAUGUGCUUGCCUUAACAAUCAUCUUCCAAACACCUGUGCACAUUUUUGAGGGAGUCUUGAGUUGGUUGCCGCUCUUGGGUGAUUUUCUCACAUUCCCUUAAAUCAUUAUACGCUAUUAACAAUGUUGAACGUGCUCUGUGCCGCAAAGCUAUUAAUAUAAUACAACUUUUAACAACGGAUCUCUUGGCUCUCGCAUCGAUGAAGAAGGCAGC